rnacentral:lncRNA from 1 species
AUUGAUUCCCUAAAUAGGCUUGAUCGGACAACCUACAUGCCUCCACGUCUCUCAAGUUGAACGACCUAGACUGAUCGAAGAGAUGUAUUUACCUCUCUUCAGUCGGCUCCUAAAACCUAGCCCACAUCCUGACGGGAGAAAAAGAAGAAAUGCAGCCAUAGAAGAAGAUUAGCUGCUGGAGGGACAACGGCGCCACCGUGUUGGAGAACCAAAACCCGUCGGUAAGCAUAAUUUUUCUUCCUGUUCUCUCUAUUUUCUCAUCAUAGAUCAUUUAGACUAGCUCU